rnacentral:rRNA from 1 species
UACGUAGGUGGCAAGCGUUGUCCGGAUUUAUUGGGUUUAAAGGGUGCGUAGGCGGGUCUUUAAGUCAGGGGUGAAAUCCUGGAGCUCAACUCCAGAACUGCCUUUGAUACUGAAGAUCUUGAGUUCGGGAGAGGUGAGUGGAACUGCGAGUGUAGAGGUGAAAUUCGUAGAUAUUCGCAAGAACACCAGUGGCGAAGGCGGCUCACUGGCCCGAUACUGACGCUGAGGCACGAAAGCGUGGGGAUCAAACAGG